GUACCCGCUGAACUUAAGCAUAUCAAUAAGCGGAGGAAAAGAAACCAACAGGGAUUGCCUCAGUAACGGCGAGUGAAGCGGCAACAGCUCAAAUUUGAAAUCUGGCCCCUUCGGGGUCCGAGUUGUAAUUUGUAGAGAGUGUUUCGGGUGAGACCACGGUCUAAGUCCAUUGGAACAUGGCGUCAUAGAGGGUGAGAAUCCCGUAUGUGACUGUGGCUCGAACCCAUGUGAAGCCUCUUCGACGAGUCGAGUUGUUUGGGAAUGCAGCUCAAAAUGGGUGGUAAAUUUCAUCUAAAGCUAAAUAUUGGCUGGAGACCGAUAGCGCACAAGUAGAGUGAUCGAAAGAUGAAAAGCACUUUGGAAAGAGAGUCAAACAGUACGUGAAAUUGUUGAAAGGGAAGCGCUUGCAACCAGACCUGUCCGUAGGUGAUCAGCCGCUGUUCUCAGUGGUGCACUCGCUCUGCGAUCAGGCCAGCAUCGGUUUCGGCGGCCGGAUAAAGGCCUUGGGAAUGUAGCUUCCCUUCGGGGGAGUCUUAUAGCCCUCGGUGCAAUGCGGCCAGCCGGGACCGAGGACCGCGCUUCGGCUAGGAUGCUGGCGUAAUGGUUGUAAGCGACCCGUCUUGAAACACGGACCAAGGAGUCUAACAUCUAUGCGAGUGUUUGGGUGUCAAACCCAUGCGCGGAAUGAAAGUGAACGGAGGUGAGAACCCUUAAGGGCGCAUCAUCGACCGAUCCAGAUGUCUUCGGAUGGAUUUGAGUAUGAGCAUAGCUGUUGGGACCCGAAAGGUACGUUACAUUUUAUUUCCUCCCCAACUCCUAAAUAGAUAGAAUUCAAGCUAAUAUACUUUACAGAUGGUGAACUAUGCCUGAAUAGGGUGAAGCCAGAGGAAACUCUGGUGGAGGCUCGCAGCGGUUCUGACGUGCAAAUCGAUCGUCAAAUUUGGGUAUAGGGGCGAAAGACUAAUCGAACCAUCUAGUAGCUGGUUCCUGCCGAAGUUUCCCUCAGGAUAGCAGUAACGUUUUCAGUUUUAUGAGGUAAAGCGAAUGAUUAGAGGCCUUGGGGUUGAAACAACCUUAACCUAUUCUCAAACUUUAAAUAUGUAAGAAGUCCUUGUUGCUUAGUUGAACGUGGACAUUUGAAUGCACCGUUACUAGUGGGCCAUUUUUGGUAAGCAGAACUGGCGAUGCGGGAUGAACCGAACGCGAGGUUAAGGUGCCGGAAUGUACGCUCAUCAGACACCACAAAAGGUGUUGAUUCAUCUAGACAGCCGGACGGUGGCCAUGGAAGUCGGAACCCGCUAAGGAAUGUGCGACACUACACGCGANCGCAUCCAUAACAUCAAANUUGGUACAUGUUCCUUACAGGAUAUAUUUCCUAGAGACCGAANAUGAAACUUUCCCGUCUCCAUCGCUCCAAAGUCGUGAGUUAUAUCACGAGCCAUACCGGACCUUCGGGGUGAACGGGAUGGUCUACAGACUUAACAGAACGAGUCUCUUGGUUGCGGAGAUUUUGAUAUAGUCGAGUCCGUAUCCGUAGUGGAUACGGCGUCCACGGUGUAACAACUCACCGGCCGAAUGAAUCAGCCCUGAAAAUGGAUGGCGCUCAAGCGUGCUACCCAUACCUCGCCGCCAGGGUAGAAACGAUGCCCUGGCGAGUAGGCAGGCGUGGGGGUCAGUAACGAAGCCUUGGGAGUGAUCCCGGGUAGAACGGCCCCUAGUGCAGAUCUUGGUGGUAGUA
rnacentral:rRNA from 1 species